AGUGAACGCUGGCGGUAGGCCUAACACAUGCAAGUCGAACGGCAGCACAGUAAGAGCUUGCUCUUACGGGUGGCGAGUGGCGGACGGGUGAGGAAUACAUCGGAAUCUACUUUUUCGUGGGGGAUAACGUAGGCAAACUUACGCUAAUACCGCAUACGACCUACGGGUGAAAGCAGGGGAUCUUCGGACCUUGCGCGAUUGAAUGAGCCGAUGUCGGAUUAGCUAGUUGGCGGGGUAAAGGCCCACCAAGGCGACGAUCCGUAGCUGGUCUGAGAGGAUGAUCCGCCACACUGGAACUGGGACAGGGUCCAGACUCCUACGGGAGGCAGCAGUGGGGAAUAUUUGACAAUGGGCGCAAGCCUGAUCCAGCCAUACCGCGUGGGUGAAGAAGGCCUUCGGGUUGUAAAGCCCUUUUGUUGGGAAAGAAAAUCAGCAGGUUAAUACCCCGCUGUUCUGACGGUACCCAAAGAAUAAGCACCGGCUAACUUCGUG
rnacentral:rRNA from 1 species